UAAAGUUUAAGGCAGCAGAUUCAUUUUCUGCCACCGAAUACAUUAGCAUGGGAUAAUGGAAUAGGACCCUGUCCCUCCCUUUUUUCAGUUUGGUUAAUUUCACAAGAGAGGAACAGGGUAAUGAUUAAUAGGGAUAGUUGGGGGCAUUAAUAUUUAAUUUGUCAGAGGUGAAAUUCUUGGAUUUAUGAAAGAUUAACUUCUGCGAAAGCAUCUGCCAAGGAUUUUUCAUUAAUCAAGAACGAAAGUUAGGGGAUCGAAGACGAUCAGAUACCGUCGUAGUCUUAACCAUAAACGAUGCCGACCAGCGAUUAGGAGACGUUGAAUACAAAACACCUCUAUAUAUAAUUCAGUGUAUGGCUUCACGGCUGUGCAUUGUUUGUAUAUAGUUUACGGUGAAUGACUCCCCUAGACCUUGGGUGAGAACCCUAGCAGCAUGUGAAAA
rnacentral:rRNA from 1 species